rnacentral:rRNA from 1 species
AGCAGCCGCGGUAAUUCCAGCUCCAAUAGCGUAUAUUAAAGUUGUUGCAGUUAAAAAGCUCGUAGUUGAAUUUCGGAGUUUGUCGGUUGGUCGGGCUUCACUGUCCGCACUGGCCUGAUAGAUUCCUACCUUCUGAAUAACCAGCAUGCUAUUAAUUUAGUGCGUUGGGGAAGCAGAGCUAUUACCUUGAAAAAAUUAGAGUGCUUAAAGCAGGCUUAUGCUUGAAUAGAUUAGCAUGGAAUAAUAAAAUAGGACGGCUUGGUUCUAUUUUGUUGGUUUCUAGGAUCACCGUAAUGAUUAAUAGGGAUAGUUGGGGGCAUUAGUAUUCAAUUGUCAGAGGUGAAAUUCUUGGAUUUAUUGAAGACUAACUUCUGCGAAAGCAUUUGCCAAGGAUGUUUUCAUUAAUCAAGAACGAAAGUUAGGGGAUCGAAGACGAUCAGAUACCGUCGUAGUCUUAACCAUAAACUAUGUCGACUAGGGAUCGGACGAUGUUAAUUUUUUAAUGACUCG